rnacentral:lncRNA from 1 species
AGGUGCAUACACGGAGGACAGAAGACUAGCGGAGAUGCCCUAAAGCAGGUAGGUCACGCGCCUUCAGGUAGGUCAAAUACGUCACGACUACGUCACGGCAGGCGUGGAUGGACAACGCCCACAUACCGUCCUUCACUUCAAAUUGACAUCUUGUCAUCAAGUCGUAUUUUACCACAAUUUGAAUAUAUUUUAUUUUUUAUUUGAUAAAAACGAUGAAAUGUGCUGUUAUAAAUUGUAGAAAUUGCUCAGGAUCCAAACUCAAACAUACUGACAGGAUAACAUUUCACGUAUUUCCCGUUAACCAUGAUAUAAGAAACACAUGGAUACGCAUCAUAAAUAAACCAAACUGGAUACCUAAGAAAUAUUCCAAAAUAUGUUCCAUACAUUUUGAAGAAACUGAUUUCUAUGAAACAAAAAGUGGUUUAAGG